AGUGACAGAGCGAGGUUGUGUCUCAAAAAAAAAAAAAAAAAAAAAAGUGAUAGAAAAUUAGGAAAUCUUUAAAGUCUUUUGGGUAAGAGAUAACAAGAUUGCGAACAAGAAGAGAUGGAAGUUUAUGACAUUAAAUCAGCACACUGUACUGGUCAGAAACCUAUCUUUAGUGCCAGACUCUCUGGUUUCAAAUCCUAGAUCUACCACUUCCUAGCUGUGUGACCUUGAGCAAGCUCCUUCUCUCUGAGCCUCAAUUUUCUCAGUUGUAAAAUGGGAUGACAGUAAUAGUACUAAUUACCUAUAGUACUUAUGAGAUUUUAAGACAUUAAAUCUGUAAAGUGCUUAAUAUAGCAGCUGGCACAUUGUAAGCACUACAUAUAUUUAUAUACUAUAAACAUACACUAUAUGUGUAUAUGUACAGUGGUUACUAUAUAUAGUGAUAUAUAUAAGUAUAUAUAUUUUUCCCAUAAUUGGAGUUACAGAAAACUACUGAAUAUUGACGAAAAAAUGAAAUUAUACUGACAUCUCAUUACUUCUAUAGAUGAUGGACUGCCAGACAAAUAAAUAACUUUGCUUUCAAGAACAGGUGACUGGGAAAGUGUCUGGACAUUAUGAGACAUAAGGAAGAAGUCAGGGAUGGUGACAGAAUAUGUAAAAAUGAGCAAAGAUGUUAAAGAAGAUAAGCCAAAGGUAUCAAUGGUAUUAUAGAGGAUACAAAGACUUGAUGUCAUCUUUUGUUUUGUAUCUUUUAUUGAUUUGGCUUAUCAAGGAUUCUGCUGCAUGGAAUUAUGAUCAGAUAUUGAAGAGGAUGAUUUUUGUUUAGUGUCCAACAUGCCCAUUUGCUGUGCAUUUUAUUUCCAGAGAUGUUGUCUAAAACACCAGAAUUAUCAUCAGAUAUUGAAGAGGAUGAUUUUUGUUUAGUAAGUUUUUUAUUUAUAACAAUAUCUACUGCAUUGCCCAGGUAACUUCUUUCCUACAGCGAGCUUCCCUAGUUCCAUAGCCAAAGAUACACACUUAAUCCAGAUCAAAUACAAAUCUGCCACUAUUGUCAGAAAAAUAUUCCCAUUAGUCUAAAAUAUUUUGCCUCAUCCUGGCUGCCUCUCCUUCUUACUCUAGCCAGUGAUUCUCCACACUGGGAGGGGAACGUUACGGAAAUACGCAGGUGUGGUUUGGGUUGUUACAACGACAGAGGGUUUCUCCUGACAAUAGGUAAGCACGAUCCUAGCUAGGAUGCUUAUCAUCCUACAACAUUUAGGACCAUGUCGCACAACUGAAAAAUAGUCCCCUUAUUAAGAAACACUUAAGACAACUUGAACCAUUACUUUGACUAUUUUCUUGUAAUAUCUUCAACUUUCAUACGCUUUAUCUUUCUGCCACAUACCCAUUUAAAUGUUAAGAAUCCAUCAUCUGUUCUCAUCUUACUAUCAACACCAAGGCUACUAAGCUUUGAGAAAAUUGUACAUAUUUAUAAACAUAUUUAUGCUAUAAAAGUCAUAUUUAAACUGAGUCCUCAACAUUAUCUAACAGUUAUUCUUAGGCCUCUCCGUUACCUUGCACAUAGCUUUACAUGUCCCUGAAUCCUGUACUUCAACAGAUCUCUAGGAGAAACUCACCAUCUUCACACUUCAGAAAAAACAAAAGCUAUUAGAUGUUCCUCCUUUACAAGCUUAUCUGCAACUCUGAUUACCUCCUGUUUCUUGAAGAAACUAUUCUCUCUUAUCCUUUCCUGCUCUGUCUUUUCAACGACCUGGAACAAAUGCCCUUCUCCUCAAUAUCCAUUUGACUCUUUAUUGACCUUUCAAAAGUCAAUUCUCUCUCCAUAUUUUCUUAAAAAGCAUCUCCUGAUCUUCACCCUCACAUCUAGCUACAGGGUUAGGCACUUGACCCUCUACUUGGUUCCUACUGCAUCCUAUAUGUGUACAUCUGAGAAUGCUUAUAACUUAUUAUCUAAUUUUCAUGCUAGAUUUUGAGAAACUUAACGACACAGUCCACUUGUAUCUCACAUUCCUAUACCACAGCCUUCCCUAUAGCAGUCACGAAUUUGUAUAAUAAAUUACAUAAUUAUGGCAAGUUCAUUUAUGCUCCCAAAUGUGUAAAUCAAGUUAUAGUGAAUAUUCAUAAGUUUUAUUGUAAGCACAGUAAAUGAGUCAUAUAUGCCAGAAGGACUCUACUUUCAAGAGCAAUAAAUGAUACUUAGGGGAAAAAAAGGUAAUGCUUUAAACAAAAUGAGACAUUUGCAGCUUGCAAAAGAAGUUAGUUCAAUGCAUAUUUCCACAAUUACUUGAAAAAAAUUUUUAAA